ACUUAGAACUGGCUUAACCUCUUCAAGAUGUGACCUUUGUCCCUGUAACACAGCUGACUCAGUGGCUUCCCCAAAAGGCCACAGGAAGACUUCAUGGCUGACGAGACGGGAAGCCGAGAGGAAGGCUUGCCCUCAGGCACUCAGCCAGGGGCCCAGAGACGGUGAGGGGCCUCCGGGGGGUCCUACAGGGCACCCCUGUCUUGUUCUUUCCAUCAGCCAAUGCCCAACCCUGUCCUGGGAGCAGGGAGCUGCCUCGUGAGGCCUCGCCCUUUGCCCUGGAGCUUCCCAGCCAGAGCCGGUGAUGUUCCCCAGGGUGUGGAGCCAGGUGUCUUUCCUCGAGGGGGGCACAAGAAGACAGUCCCCGAGGCCGCCAACACUCUAAGGGGCCGAAAGAGGUGGCUGUCAGCACCAGGGCUCCAGGUCAUGGGCCAGGAUGAGCUUGCUUAAACCAUUCCCUUCCUGCCUGAACUGGGGAGGACCUUCUGAAAGCAGCCCACAAAGUUGGCCACUCAGUGCCUUCGCCGCUGUCCUGUCGGAGCAGCCAGCAGCCUGUGACUCAGCAAGACCCAGCAGACUCCACUGUUCCUGCCCGAGCAGGCCUCAAGUUGGGUGUCGUCACCCCACCAGCCCCUGCCUUGGUGGCAGGAUGUCACCAAGCUGCUGGACAACUCUGUGCCUCAGAUUCUUCCCUGGUGAGGCCACCAACGUGCCCAAGGGCUCCUCGGUCACAGUGCAUGGUAUGCAGCUGCGUCCUGGCCAGGCUCCGUGACGACGUGGGAGGCAGCCCUGCUGGUCCGGAGAGCACCUGGUGGGUCGUGCCCAGGGCCACGAGGCCAAGCAGAGCAGACACUAAUCUUACAAGUGGACAUUAAAACAACUUGGCCUUGGAGAGACCCCACGGGUGGAAGGGUGGCUGCUGGUGCCAGAUGCCUGGCGGAGCAGGCUCUGCUCCGGAAGGCCUGCCUGCGGCCCAGUGGGUAGCCGUGUCCCACCUGUACAGGUGAGUCCUUAAAGGCGCAGAGACGCUGAGUGACUUGCUCCAGGGCACCCGGCAGAAGAGAGAGAACUUGGAGCUCGGCCAUGCAGGAGGGGGAGAGACAAGAAGUGGGCCUGGGAGCUUUCCGUCUUGUUGCCUCUGCUCCGUGGGCGCCCGUGCCACCCAGCAGGCAGAGGACAGCACAUGGCCUCCUCAACCACUGGUUUGGAGACGCUCCCUGCCCGGCUGCACCUGGCGUGCAGACCAGACAUACUCAGGCUCGAACCCCAGCAUGGCCAAACCCUGCAGUGCCCCAGUGACGGCUGCAGGGUUUUAGACGAGUUGCCCCAAGAUGUGCCUCUGUGGCGCAUGGAUUAUUUUGAGCUAAAGGCAAGUGAGACCCUGGAGGCACAACAGAAACUUCGGUUCCCCCUUAACUGCUUAGAAUAAUUCAAAUUAGGGUCCUUGCCUGUAAUAGAUUAUCAGAGGUAAUUUUUUUUAUCAAUCAGCAGGGCAAAUGUCUACAAACUGCCCCUCUGCUCUCGCCACCCUGCAGUGACCUCCCUCCCCUCCGAAGCCCCAAGGUGCCUGGCCUCAUCCUUCGCUCGGAAUGCCGUAAGCGCCUCAUCCUCCCCUCUGUCUCGGAACCUGUUAUAUAUGUGGGGUCUCGGGCUCUCUCAGGUACAAUAUGCAGGUUCCCGUACAUACUGCCUCAUUAAAUGUGGCUCUUGUCUCUUGUUAA